rnacentral:lncRNA from 1 species
GUUUCUAGAGCUCGGAGGCUGCUGGUAGGGGGGCACCACUUUCAGAUAAAAACAUAGACCUGAAUGGCAUCAUCCAGUAUCCAAGGAAACCAUGUUCUCUAAACAUGAAUAUGCCUUUGGGGGAAGACAGAAGAACAUGGAAGCCAUGUGAAAAAAACGGAUCCUAAGGCAGUUUUGAACAUCUGGAGGCCUGAUUUAUUGGAGAUUGCAAAUGUACAGUGUAACAUAGCUGUGGAGAGAAACC